rnacentral:rRNA from 1 species
GAUGAACGCUGGCGGCGUGCUUAACACAUGCAAGUCGAACGAAGCACUUUAUUUGAUUUCCUUCGGGACUGAUUAUUUUGUGACUGAGUGGCGGACGGGUGAGUAACGCGUGGGUAACCUGCCUUGUACAGGGGGAUAACAGUUGGAAACGGCUGCUAAUACCGCAUAAGCGCACAGCAUCGCAUGAUGCAGUGUGAAAAACUCCGGUGGUAUAAGAUGGACCCGCGUUGGAUUAGCUAGUUGGUGAGGUAACGGCCCACCAAGGCGACGAUCCAUAGCCGACCUGAGAGGGUGACCGGCCACAUUGGGACUGAGACACAGCCCAAACUCCUACGGGAGGCAGCAGUGGGGAAUAUUGCACAAUGGGCGAAAGCCUGAUGCAGCGACGCCGCGUGAGCGAAGAAGUAUUUCGGUAUGUAAAGCUCUAUCAGCAGGGAAGAUAAUGACGGUACCUGACUAAGAAGCACCGGCUAAAUACGUG